rnacentral:rRNA from 1 species
GAUGAACGCUGGCGGCGUGCCUAAUACAUGCAAGUCGAGCGAACGGACGAGAAGCUUGCUUUUCUGAUGUUAGCGGCGGACGGGUGAGUAACACGUGGAUAACCUACCUAUAAGACUGGGAUAACUUCGGGAAACCGGAGCUAAUACCGGAUAAUAUUUUGAACCGCAUGGUUCAAAAGUGAAAGACGGUCUUGCUGUCACUUAUAGAUGGAUCCGCGCUGCAUUAGCUAGUUGGUAAGGUAACGGCUUACCAAGGCAACGAUGCAUAGCCGACCUGAGAGGGUGAUCGGCCACACUGGAACAGAGACACGGUACAGACUCCUACGGGAGGCAGCAGUAGGGAAUCUUCCGCAAUGGGCGAAAGCCUGACGGAGCAACGCCGCGUGAGUGAUGAAGGUCUUCGGAUCGUAAAACUCUGUUAUUAGGGAAGAACAUAUGUGUAAGUAACUGUGCACAUCUUGACGGUACCUAAUCAGAAAGCCACGGCUAACUACGUG